CGGGAAGAGAAACCUGCAGACCCCUCCACUCGGGCAGCCGGCAGUGGCCACCAGCUGGGUGCAGUGUUCAAGGAAUGGGCUUGGAAAUCAGGCGGGUGAGAGGGUGGUUCUGGACGGAGCAAGUGUCAUGGGGACAUCGCUGGGACCAAGCAGGCCCUGCAAUAAGCCAGUUUGCUUCCUUCGCAUCUGGCAAACGCCUGCACCAGCUCCCGGGAGCAGCCCUCAGUCUCCAGGCCCCAGCCCAGGCUCUCUCCUCGAGCCCCAGGGACUACUGAGGGAAGCCGCCGCCUCACCCAGAACCACCCGGGCCUUGGGAAACAUGAAGCCGGGGCUGGAUUCCAGCUUUGCCUCUUGUGGAGGGGUGACCUUGGGGACCCUGUUCACCAUGCUGGGGCAUGAUGUGAGCAGGUCCUAAGGCUCUGCCCGGGAACCCUGGGGUCCCUGGUGGGCUGCAGGCUCCUAAGUCCUGACCUUGACCUGCUUCCCAGGAAGUGUUGGGCUCCUCCAGAUUCUCAGGGUGCCCUGGUGCAGGAGGAUGAGUGGGGCUGGGCCGGGGAGCUGGGUGACAGCAAUGACAGGAUCCUUGAACCCCAAAGUGGCUCCUGGAUCUGAAUCUGCCGUGUGGACAUGUGUGUAGCUGGGCAGCAAGCACAUGGGCCAUGGGUCAGAGCCAGUCUUUGCCCUGCUCCAUACCUUUAGAGAUCUGUGAAUUUCGUUGUGGUGGGUGGACGUGUGGAGCAGGCCUGGGGCCUCAGAACUCUGCAGACUAAGGCAGGAGGAUGGUUGGAGCCCAGGAAUCAGAGACCAGCCUGGGUAACUAGCGAGACCUAUCUCAAAAAUACAAAAAUGAGCCAGUGUGGUGGUGCACGCCUGUAAUCCCAGUCGCUGGGGAGGUUGAGGCAGGAGGAUCUCGAGUUCAAAGCCAGCCUCAGCAAUUUAGCGAGGCCCUAAGCAACUCAGUGAGACUCUGUCUCUAAAUAAAAUACAAAAUAGGGCUGCUGGUGUGGCUCAGUGGUCGAGUGCCCCUGAGUUCAAUCCCUGGUACCAAAACAAACAAACAAAUGCCCUUAAACCCUCUACAUUAUGAAACGCCUGGCUUUGUCACUUUGGCCCUUGUUGGCAUCGGUAGUGCCACUGCCUGGCACAUCUUCUAAGGAACAAACGGAUGGUUGAGGAAGUGAGUGGAUGAAGCCCAGUGUUAUGUCACUGGCAAGAUAGUGUUUGGGGACGACCAGAAAUAUGAGCCUGGGCUUUUCUCAAACCCACCUAUAGCAGAUUCUCAAUUGGGGUCACAGAGCAGUGGAUCUGAG
rnacentral:lncRNA from 1 species